CAAUAGCGUAUAUUUAAGUUGUUGCAGUUAAAAAGCUCGUAGUUGGAUUUCGGUUAAGAGCGACCGGUCCGCCGUUUGGUGUGCACUGGUUGGUUUUAACUUCCUGUAGAGGACGUGCUCUGGGUUUAACGACCUGGACUCGGAGUCUACGUGGUUACUUUGAAAAAAUUAGAGUGUUCAAAGCGGGCUUACGCUUGAAUAUUUCAGCAUGGAAUAACACUAUAGGACUCCUGUCCUAUUUCGUUGGUCUCGGGACGGGAGUAAUGAUUAAGAGGAACAGUUGGGGGCAUUCGUAUUUCAUUGUCAGAGGUGAAAUUCUUGGAUUUAUGAAAGACGAACUUCCGCGAAAGCAUUUACCAAGGAUGUUUNCAUUA
rnacentral:rRNA from 1 species